UGCGUAGGCGGGCUAAUAAGUCAGUGGUGAAAUCUUUCGGCUCAACCGAGAAACUGCCAUUGAUACUGUUAGUCUUGAGUUCGGUUGAGGUAGGCGAAAUGUGUAAUGUAGCGGUGAAAUGCUUAGAUAUUACACAGAACACCAAUUGCGUAGGCAGCUUACUAGACCGACACUGACGCUGAGGCACGAAAGCGUGGGGAGCGAACAGGAUUAGAUACCCUGGUAGUCC
rnacentral:rRNA from 1 species